UCAAGCAAAAAAGAGCGCAUGGUGGAUGCCUUGGCACUGGAAGCCGAAGAAGGACGUGAUAAGCUGCGAAAAGCGGCGGGGAGAAGCAAAUAUUCUGCGAUCCGCCGAUAUCCGAAUGGGGAAACCCAUCCAUGAAAACCAUGGAUAUGUAUAAGUAAAUACAUAGCUUAUACAAGGGAACCCGGGGAACUGAAACAUCUAAGUACCCGGAGGAAGAGAAAGAAACAUCGAUUUCCUGAGUAGCGGCGAGCGAAAGGGAAAGAGCCUAAACCGAGAUGCGUGCAUUUCGGGGUAAUGGACUACAAUAAGUGAGCAAAAAGAUAGAAGAACAGGCAGGAAAGCCUGGCCGAAGAAAGUGAAAGCCUUGUAUUCGAAAUCUGAAUUGCAGCGAGUAGUAUCCGGAGUACUGCGGGACACGAGAAACCCUGCAGGAAGUCGGGGGGACCACCCCCCAAGGCUAAAUACUAACCAGUGACCGAUAGCGUAUAGUACUGUGAAGGAAAGGUGAAAAGAACCCUGGGAAGGGAGUGAAAGAGAACCUGAAACCAUGUGUUUACAAACUGUGGAAGAACUAUUAAAAGUUCAACCGCGUACUUUUUGUAGAACGGUCCGGCGAGUCACGCCGGCUGGCAAGGUUAAGGACUAAAGGUCCGGAGCCGAAGGGAAACCAAGUCUUAAUAGGGCGAAGAGUCAGUCAGCGUGGACCCGAAACCGGGUGAUCUACCCAUGUCCAGGAUGAAGCUGCCGUAAGAGGUAGUGGAGGUCCGAACACACAUCCGUUGAAAAGGGUGGUGAUGAGGUGUGGGUAGGGGAGAAAUUCCAAUCGAACCCGGAGAUAGCUGGUUCUCCUCGAAAUAGCUUUAGGGCUAGCCUUCAGUUAGUCUGCCGCAGGUAGAGCACUGAAUUUCCUAGGGGGCGUCAAAGCCUACCGAAGAAUAUCAAACUCCGAAUGGCGGACAGAUGAUGCUGGGGAGUCAGACUGCACGAGAUAAGUUGGGUGGUCAAAAGGGAAAGAGCCCAGACCUACAGCUAAGGUCCCAAAGUACGUGUUAAGUGGAAAAGGAUGUGGGAUUUCAAAGACAGCUAGGAUGUUGGCUUAGAAGCAGCCAUACAUUAAAAGAGUGCGUAAUAGCUCACUAGCCGAGAGGUCCUGCGCCGAAAAUGUCCGGGGCUAAAACACGACACCGAAGCUUAGGAAUCAGAAAUGAUUGGUAGAGGAGCAUUCUUAAAUCAUCGAAGCUGUACCGAUAAGGAGCAGUGGAGGUUUAAGAAGAGAGAAUGCCGGAAUGAGUAGCGAGAAUGAAGUGAGAAUCUUCAUGGCCGAAUAUCCAAGGUUUCCAGGGUAAAGCUGAUCUGCCCUGGGUUAGUCGGGGCCUAAGGCGAGGCUGAGAAGCGUAGCUGAUGGACAACAGGUUGAAAUUCCUGUACUACCUUAUAACAGAACUGUGGGGACACAUGUUCAGGUCGCGAGCCGGGAAAGGAAAGCCCGGCGCAAGCAGAGGUUAUCGGUGGGAGGCAAACCCCCCACAAAAGAGAAGACUGCGAUGCGGAGCGAAGAAAAGUAGCGAAGAGCGAUGAGAAUGUGUCGAGAAAAGCCGCUAUAGUUUAUAAGGUACCCGUACCGUAAACCGACACAGGUGGAUGAGGAGAGAAUCCUAAGGCCGGCGGGAGAAGCAUUGUUAAGGAACUCGGCAAAAUGACCCCGUAACUUCGGGAGAAGGGGUGCCAGGUAAAACUGGCCGCAGAGAAUAGGCUCAAGCAACUGUUUAGCAAAAACACAGGUCUAUGCGAAACCGAAAGGUGAGGUAUAUGGGCUGACGCCUGCCCGGUGCUGGAAGGUUAAGAGGAGAGGUUAGCGCAAGCGAAGCUUUGAAUUUAAGCCCCAGUAAACGGCGGCCGUAACUAUAACGGUCCUAAGGUAGCGAAAUUCCUUGUCGGGUAAGUUCCGACCC
rnacentral:rRNA from 1 species